UGAGGAAUAUUGGUCAAUGGUCGGGAGACUGAACCAGCCAAGCCGCGUGAGGGAUGAAGGUACUAAGUAUUGUAAACCUCUUUUGUCAGGGAACAAAGGCAUCCACGCGUGGGUGAGUGAGUGUACCUGAAGAAAAAGCAUCGGCUAACUCCGUGCCAGCAGCCGCGGUAAUACGGAGGAUGCGAGCGUUAUCCGGAUUUAUUGGGUUUAAAGGGUGCGUAGGCGGCCUGUUAAGUCAGCGGUAAAAGCCCGGGGCUCAACCCCGGCGAGCCGUUGAAACUGGCUGGCUGGAGUUGGCGAGAG
rnacentral:rRNA from 1 species